CAGCCGCCGCGGUAAUACGUAGGGUGCAAGCGUUAAUCGGAAUUACUGGGCAUAAAGCGUGCGCAGGCGGUUCGGAAAGAAAGAUGUGAAAUCCCAGAGCUUAACUUUGGAACUGCAUUUUUAACUACCGGGCUAGAGUGUGUCAGAGGGAGGUGGAAUUCCGCGUGUAGCAGUGAAAUGCGUAGAUAUGCGGAGGAACACCGAUGGCGAAGGCAGCCUCCUGGGAUAACACUGACGCUCAUGCACGAAAGCGUGGGGAGCAAACAGGAUUAGAUACCCUGGUAGUCCACGCCCUAAACGAUGUCAACUAGCUGUUGGGGCCUUCGGGCCUUGGUAGCGCAGCUAACGCGUGAAGUUGACCGCCUGGGGAGUACGGUCGCAAGAUUAAAACUUAAAGGAAAUGGCGGG
rnacentral:rRNA from 1 species